AUUGAACGCUGGCGGCAUGCUUUAUACAUGCAAGUCGAACGGUAACAGGGUGCUUGCACCGCUGACGAGUGGCGAACGGGUGAGUAAUGCGUCGGAACGUGCCGAGUAGUGGGGGAUAACGCAGCGAAAGUUGUGCUAAUACCGCAUACGUACUGAGGUAGAAAGUGGGGGACCUUCGGGCCUCACGCUAUUCGAGCGGCCGACGUCUGAUUAGCUAGUAGGUGAGGUAAAGGCUCACCUAGGCGACGAUCAGUAGCGGGUCUGAGAGGAUGAUCCGCCACACUGGGACUGAGACACGGCCCAGACUCCUACGGGAGGCAGCAGUGGGGAAUUUUGGACAAUGGGCGAAAGCCUGAUCCAGCCAUGCCGCGUGUCUGAAGAAGGCCUUCGGGUUGUAAAGGACUUUUGUCAGGGAGGAAAUCCCUAGUGCUAAUAACACUGGGGGAUGACAGUACCUGAAGAAUAAACACCGGCUAACUACGUGCCAGCCGCCGCAGUAA
rnacentral:rRNA from 1 species